UACAGGGGGCUCGAGCGUUAGUCGGAAUCACUGGGCUUAAAGGGUGCGUAGGUGGCUCAUUAAGUGUUUUGUGAAAUCCCACAGCUCAACUGUGGAACAGCAGGGCAAACUGAUGAGCUUGAGGCAGGUAGGGGCCGGAAGAACAGUUGGUGGAGCGGUGAAAUGCGUAGAUAUCAACUGGAAUGCCGAUGGGGAAGCCGUCCGGCUGGGCCUGCUCCUGACACUGAGGCACGAAAGCGUGGGGAGCAAACAGG
rnacentral:rRNA from 1 species